AUGGCUCAGAAUGGCAUACUCACCCCGAUCGCUACCCUCGUUGUAAAUGAGUUAUGGGAGCCGAUCAAGAAGCAUAUUGGCUACUGUCUGAAGCCUAAAACCAAUGUCAAGAAUCUAGCCAAAGCUGCUGAUGAAUUGAGGAACUCCAUACAUACCAUCGAGGAGACCAUUCAGUUAGGUGAACGCGAAGGCAAGAGACCGAAGGUACAAGUAACAAAGUGGACAGAGAGUGCUCAGUCUAUUGAAGCUGAAGCUUGCAGCAUCAGCAAUAAGUACCAGGCAAGGACCAUACAUAUCUUUCGCUGCUCCUGGAGUUGUUGGUCUAACUAUAAAAUUAGCAAAUCUGCUGCAAAAGUUAAAGCUGAUAUUGAAGAUAUUAACAAGAGAUCACUUCAAAAGGAUGAUAUAUUAAGUUUGCUCCCACCAGUUGGUUUGGAGUUGCCUUUACCAGCAAACAUCGUAGGCCAAGAACACUACAGAAACAAGGUUUUCGGUUGCAUUGAGGAAGGCCCUACCGACAUCAUUGGCAUAUGUGGCAUGGGAGGGUCAGGAAAAACUACUCUCCUUAAACAAAUCAACAACUAUUAUAGCUCUGAAAGGCCUGUAUUUGAUCAUGUCAUGUUUAUUGAAGUUGGCAAGCAGCUAAACUUGAUGGCAGUUCAGCAGAGCAUUGCAUCUGGACUAGGACUGUUGUUAACAAAUGAUGGAGAUGCAACACACAGAGCUAGAGCUAUUUUCAACUUUUUAAAGGAAAAGAAAUUCCUAUUGCUGAUUGAUGAUCUUUGGGAAAUGCUGGACCUAGUGAAAGUUGGUAUACCACAUGGUUCGAAGAAGUGUUGCCUUCAAAAUAGUCAGACUGUGGUGAUCACAACACGAUCUUUGGAUGUCUGUGGUAGAAUGCAAAUUUUUGAAAACGUUAUACAGUUGAAAUGCUUGAAUUCUGAUCAUUCGUGGCAGCUGUUUAAAGAGGUUGUUGGUGAAAGAAAGACGGAAGAUGCUCGAAUUAGGGGAUGUGCCAAGAAGAUUGCUGCAAAAUGUGGAGGUCUUCCACUAGCAAUUAAGAUAACUGGGCAGGCUAUGGCUUCCAAGGUAGCUUCAGAAGAAUGGGAAUACAGUUUGAUGUUAGUAGAAGAUUCAGUUUUCCAUGAGGUUUCUGGUUCAGAUAACGAACUCUUUCCUAUACUGAAAAUUAGUUAUGAUAGCUUGCAAAGUGAUGUGAUUAGAAUGUGCUUUCUACUAUUUGCGGGGACUACCGCACAACAUCCAGAUGAUGAUUGGGAUUCUAUUGGUUUAAUUCACAUUUGGAUGGGGCAUGGACUGCUAGGUGAGGAUGAUGAUAUUGAAAGAACUUACUUGAUUGGAUAUUCUAUUAUUGAAAUUUUGAAAAGAUCGUUCUUGCUUGAAUCCUCUGGCAGAGGGGAGAAACGUGUGAAAAUGCACCAUGUUGUUCAAGAUCUAGCCUUGUGGAUUGUAGCGACAAAACAGAACGGGAUGCGUAAAGAGAAGUGGCUGGUGGACCAAAGAGAACACACCCAACCAGACGUUUGGAGCACCGCUGAUAGAAUCUUCCUAUAUGGUGAUGAUAUUAAGACAAUUCCUAGUUCUUGCAGCUGCCCUGACCUGUUAACAUUAAUGAUAGCAAACAGUGAGCAUAUUUCUGAGUUCCCAGCUGGUUUUUUCUCUGCCAUGAAAUCACUCAAUUAUUUGGAUCUUUCUGGAAUACAGAUCCAAGAAAUACCAUCAGAAAUAGGAGCAUUAACGAGCUUGCAGUUCCUUACUCUUUCUCGGACACCAAUACAAUCAUUGCCAGAGGAGCUGGGGCAGUUGGAAGAUCUAAGGUACUUACAAUUGCAGAGCACCUUCCGUCUCAGAAAUAUACCAAAUGGUUUGCUAGCUAGACUGAAGAUGUUAAGGCGGUUAGAUUUAUAUCGAUGUCAUGAUUUGACAAUUGAUUACUCAGCACGAUAUAUCGAAGAACUCAAAAGUUUAACUAGGCUACGGGAUAUUAGUUUUACAGUACAAGAUUCAGACUCAAUGUGGAAGAUCUGUAACUUGCCCAGAGCCUUUGUAAGCGGCCUCUGCAUUAGAGCUCUUGAAGGCUUGCAAUCUCUUCAGAUAUCACCACUGCUCCUUGCAAGUAGCAAGGCUAGAUACAUGAAAGCUCUGUCACUGGAACACAUCAAUCUUUUGGAGGACAUAGUGAUAGGUCAGACAGAUAUAGACCCAGGUUGGUGCUUGCCAAGGCUAGAAACACUACUUCUAUAUAGUCUGGUAGCACUUCAGAGGGUUGAGUUUAAAGGUAUUGAACCCAACACUUGCCUUUCAGGCCUCAGGAGAAUAUCCAUCUCACAUUGCCACAAGUUGAUAUCCAUCACAUGGAUCACAUGGCUGCCUUGCCUCGAAAGUGUAUACUUGGGUGACUGUGACUCGAUAGUUGAGCUGGUGGGUAAAGAUGAAGAAGCUGUGCUAUCUGCCACAAGGUCCUUCCCUCGACUCAAGUCCAUGGCGUUACCUAAUCUGAAGAACCUACAUAGCAUCUGUGAUGGCAGAAUCACCUUCCCAUCAUUGAUGCGCUUGCUCGUUUAUGGAUGCCCCAUGCUAAUGAAGCUGCCACAGAACUUAGUGGGCGCCGAGAGUUCACCGCUGAUAUUUGGCGAGCGAAAAUGGUGGGAAAGUUUAGAAUGGGAGGAUGCUAGCUCACAGUCCUCUCUCCUUCCUUUCUUCAGAGAAGUGCCUGCAGGAUUCAGAGGAAGCCAACCAGAAGUGUUCAGGGCUUUACGUGCUUAG
rnacentral:rRNA from 1 species